rnacentral:ncRNA from 1 species
UGUUAGAGGUGAAACAAAACAUCACAGGGAACAUGGGGUGUUGAUGUGGUAUGAUUUGGCCCUAUAGUCUGAAUAUUAAAGUCAAUCAAUCAGUCACCAUAUUUAUUAAGUGCUUACUGUGUGCAGAUCACUGUACUAAGCACUUGGGAGAAAGCAAUAUAGCAGAGUAGGUAGACGUGUUCCCUGUCCGUAGUGAGUUUACAGUCUAGAGGGGAAGGCAGACAUUAAUAUAAGUGAAGAAAUUCCAUGAAGCAUGGGUAAAUGGCAGAAGUUAUUAUGACUCUCUUAAAGUAGUCAAAUACUUCAUCAUUAAAUUAGUGAUGUGAAUAAAUGGAUGAA